GCGCUUGCUUUGGCUGCACAUAUACUAAAAUUGGAAUGAUAUGGAGAAGAUUAGCAUGGCCCCU
rnacentral:snRNA from 1 species